UAAAGAUAAUGCCACCAGGAGGGCCCUCAGUUUAACAGUCCUCCCAACAGGCACACCUGCUAGCCACAGAGCACAAGCUGCUACAGGACCAAAGCUUGCAAAUGAAGUUGUUUUGGAAGAAUGAAGUCAACAUGCAGUGAGGGCCAGAAAGACAGAAGGGAAGACCCGGGGACAGUUGGCCAUGUCUAAGAUCCCAGUUCCAUUUGUUCCUGAGUUGAGCUGCUUCCCAAUCUUACUCAUAUGGUGGAUGGGCUACGUGGGAUGUGGGUUAAGAAAAUCAAACAGAGGUUCCAUUUUCACAUUAUUCUUCAGCGGGCGGUUUUAACUCUGUAGAAUCAGAUCUUUUCAGAAACCUAAUCCUAGCCUCAGAAGCAAUGCCCCAGGACAGGCAGAGGACAAAAAGUCAAUGGAUUUGGGAGCAAGUCAAGUUCUGCCGCUACAGGGCUACAGGACCUCAGG